CCUACGGGAGGCAGCAGUGGGGAAUUUUGGACAAUGGGCGCAAGCCUGAUCCAGCAAUGCCGCGUGAGUGAAGAAGGCCUUCGGGCUGUAAAGCUCUUUUGUCAGGGAAGAAACGGCUGAGGUUAAUACCUUUGGCUAAUGACGGUACCUGAAGAAUAAGCACCGGCUAACUACGUGCCAGCAGCCGCGGUAAUACGUAGGGUGCAAGCGUUAAUCGGAAUUACUGGGCGUAAAGCGUGCGCAGGCGGUUUUGUAAGUCUGACGUGAAAUCCCCGGGCUCAACCUGGGAAUUGCGUUGGAGACUGCAAGGCUGGAGUCUGGCAGAGGGGGGUAGAAUUCCACGUGUAGCAGUGAAAUGCGUAGAGAUGUGGAGGAACACCGAUGGCGAAGGCAGCCCCCUGGGUCAAGACUGACGCUCAUGCACGAAAGCGUGGGGAGCAAACAGGAUUAGAUACCCUGGUAGUCCACGCCCUAAACGAUGUCUACUAGUUGUCGGGUCUUAAUUGACUUGGUAACGCAGCUAACGCGUGAAGUAGACCGCCUGGGGAGUACGGUCGCAAGAUUAAAACCGUCAAAGUAGUAGUAGGCGUGNGAGAGACGACGACGACGACGACGGGAGGGAGGAGG
rnacentral:rRNA from 1 species